rnacentral:sRNA from 1 species
AUUGUUAAUUCUCUUGUGGUAUUUAUUGUCAAUGAAUUUCCCUUUUCCAGACAAAUGCUUUGCUACAACAGAAGAAUUCCAGUGGAUGAAUUGGAAAUUAGACUAAAGGCCAUCAAUUCAGAUACUUUAAAAUCAGUUUGUUCCAAAUACAUUUAUGACAAGUGUCCAUCAGUAGUGGGUGUUGGACCAAUCGAAGGCCUGACAGACUACAACAAUAUACGGUCUGGCAUGUACCAAGUGCUGAAAUAAUCCAGUCAAAUGUAGAAAUAUUUACUGAACUAUAGUCGUUACUGAAGUGUGAACUAUUUUAUUUAUGUUUUCUUUGGAGGUCACUUGGGAAUGUUAUGUGCUGAAAGACUCAUGGACUAGUGUUGUAUUAAAACAAUUUUGUACAGUC